rnacentral:rRNA from 1 species
UAUCUCUGUAGAGUCUGCAUAUCAAUAAGCGGAGGAAAAGAAACUAACUAGGAUUCCCUUAGUAACGGCGAGUGAAGCGGGAAGAGCUCAAAUUUGAAAUCUUCAAGGUUCUACCUUGACGAAUUGUAGUUUAAAGAAGUGUUUUCUGUUAGGUAUGAGUACAAAGUUCCUUGGAAUAGGACAUCAUAGAGGGUGAGAAUCCCGUAUUUGACCAUUAUUUCAGCUGUGUGAUACACUUUCAAAGAGUCGGAUUGUUUGGGAAUGCAGUCCAAAAUGGGUGGUAAAUUUCAUCUAAAGCUAAAUAUUGGCGAGAGACCGAUAGCGAACAAGUACCGUGAGGGAAAGAUGAAAGAACUUUGAAAAGAGAGUUAAACAGUACGUGAAAUUGUCAAAAGGGAAGCGUUUGACACCAGUGUUGUUUUCUCGAAAAUCAAUUAAAAAUGGCUUGAUUUUGUGUUGUAUUGACCUUAAAAGCUUUCUUCACUUUUUUCAUGUCUUUUUUAAUGCACUUUUCGUUUAACAAGUCAACAUCAGUUUCUUUUGUUGUAAAAAGGUCAUUGGAAGGUGGCUUUCUUUUCGGAGAAAGUGUUUAUAGCCUUUGACUUCUGCAAUCGGAGAGACUGAGGUCUGCAGCGUAGAUCCAUUCUGGAUUAGAUUCAUUUGUGCUAAGUUACAACCGUUUAUAGACAACUUGUUGACUAUAUUCGAUCCUGUAGCUUACUCGCUUAUGUAAUUUUACCUACGCUUAGGAUGUUGAAGAUGUAGCACAUCAU